AUGGUGCCCAUUCCAGAUAACCUCCUGGCAUCUGGCGGUGGCGUAGGUGACCGAUGCAUCAAGUUUUGGAACACACACACUGGCGCAUGCCUCAACUCUGUCAACACUGGGUCACAAGUGUGUGCACUCCUCUGGAACAAGAAUGACAGAGAGCUGUUGAGCUCGCAUGGAUUCACGCAGAAUCAGCUUGCCCUAUGGAAGUACCUGUCGAUGGUUAAGAUGGCUGAACUCAAUGGCCAUACUUACCCUGUCCUCUACAUGGCCCAGAUGAACGUCAAGACCAGUUUGAUGUAUUAUACAUACAGAUGUCGGUGA
rnacentral:rRNA from 1 species